UCGGGAAUUUUGGGCAAUGGGGGAAACCCUGACCCAGCAACGCCGCGUGAAGGAUGAAGUAUUUCGGUAUGUAAACUUCGAAAGAAUAGGAAGAAUAAAUGACGGUACUAUUUAUAAGGUCCGGCUAACUACGUGCCAGCAGCCGCGGUAAUACGUAGGGACCAAGCGUUGUUCGGAUUUACUGGGCGUAAAGGGCGCGUAGGCGGCAUGACAAGUCACUUGUGAAAUCUCUGGGCUUAACCCAGAACGGCCAAGUGAUACUGUCGCGCUAGAGUGCAGAAGGGGCAAUCGGAAUUCUUGGUGUAGCGGUGAAAUGCGUAGAUAUCAAGAGGAACACCUGAGGUGAAGACGGGUUGCUGGGCUGACACUGACGCUGAGGCGCGAAAGCCAGGGGAGCAAACGGGAUUAGAUACCCGCGUAGUCCCUGAGCGGGCUGGCAAGGCGCAU
rnacentral:rRNA from 1 species